rnacentral:rRNA from 1 species
GGAUUGUUCACCCACCAAUAGGGAACGUGAGCUGGGUUUAGACCGUCGUGAGAUAGGUUAGUUUUGCCCUACUGAUGACAACGUCGCAAUAGUAAUUCAACCUAGUACUAGAGGAACCGUUGAUUCGCACAAUUGGUCAUCGCCCUUGGUUGAAAAGCCAGUGGCGCGAAGCUACCGUGCGCUAGAUUAUGACUAAACGCCUCUAAGUCAGAAUCCAGGCUAGAAGUGACGCGUGCGCCCACCGCCCGCUUGUCGACCCGCAGUAGGGGCCAUCCAGCCCCCAAAGGCACGUGUCGUUGGCGAAGCCCCGCCCGACGGGGUAUUGUAAGUGGCAGAGUGGUCAUGCUGCCACGAUCCACUGAGAUUCAGCCCUGCGUCGCUCCGAUUCGUCCCUCCC